AACGCACAUUGCGCCCCCUGGUAUUCCGGGGGGCACACCUGUUCGAGCGCCAUUUCAACCCUCAAGCCUUGCUUGGUGUUGGGCAGGGUCCUAGUGGACCCGCCCGAAACUUAGCGGGCGCCACCCGUAAGCGGGCGCAGCGAGCCAACGCAAGCGCCAGUGACACUGCGGGGUGCCCUAAAUUUUACCCAAGGUUGGCCUCGGAUCAGGUGGGGAUACCCGCUGAACUUAA
rnacentral:misc_RNA from 1 species